rnacentral:rRNA from 1 species
CCUACGGGAGGCAGCAGUAGGGAAUCUUUCACAAUGGGCGAAAGCCUGAUGGAGCAACGCCGCGUGCAGGAUGAAGGCCUUCGGGUUGUAAACUGCUUUUAUAAGCGAGAAAUAUGAUGGUAACUUAUGAAUAAGGAUCGGCUAACUACGUUCCAGCAGCCGCGGUCAUACGUAGGAUCCGAGCAUUAUCCGGAGUGACUGGGUGUAAAGAGUUGCGUAGGUGGCAUAAUAAGUAGCUAGUGAAAUCUGGUGGCUCAACCAUUCAGACUAUUAGCUAAACUGUUAAGCUCGAGACCGUUAGGGGUAACUGGAAUUUCUAGUGUAGGAGUGAAAUCCGUAGAUAUUAGAAGGAACACCAAUAGCGUAGGCAGGUUGCUGGGACGGUUCUGACACUAAGGCACGAAAGCGUAGGGAGCAAACGGGAUUAGAUACCCCAGUAGUC